GGUCCUCAGAGGAGCGGGCAUAGAUCCACAGAGAGGACUGGAGGACCUGGAUACUCUGGCCACGCUCCUGCAGAAACUGGAAGGUGAAGCGCAAGCUCGUGAGGCGUUUCAGCGCCAUACAGAGGAAAGAACAGCUUAACGUCAUAAAAGGUGCAGCUUCUCCAAAAUCUGUUGCUUGGCGAUCUCUAUCAUCAGCCUUUCCUCUGCGUCUUUCUCCAUCGCCGGUAAACCAC